GAGGCUGGCUAGGUUACUGGUGUUCCUCUAGGUCUUCAAAACCUUUUGGGAGAUUAUUGGAUCUCCGGUGGGUUCGAUUCCCACACAGUCUCGCCA
rnacentral:tRNA from 1 species